rnacentral:rRNA from 1 species
UACGGAGGGGGCUAGCGUUGUUCGGAAUUACUGGGCGUAAAGCGGGUGUAGGCGGAUUGCUAAGUCGGGGGUGAAAGCCCAGGGCUCAACCCUGGAAUUGCCUUCGAUACUGGCAGUCUCGAGUGCAGGAGAGGUGAGCGGAAUUCCGAGUGUAGAGGUGAAAUUCGUAGAUAUUCGGAGGAACACCAGAGGCGAAGGCGGCUCACUGGACUGUUACUGACGCUGAGACCCGAAAGCGUGGGGAGCAAACAGG